rnacentral:misc_RNA from 1 species
GAUGAAGAACGCAGCGAAAUGCGAUAAGUAAUGUGAAUUGCAGAAUUCAGUGAAUCAUCGAAUCUUUGAACGCACAUUGCGCCCGCCAGUAUUCUGGCGGGCAUGCCUGUUCGAGCGUCAUUUCAACCACUCAGGCCCUGGUGCCUGGCGUCGGGGUUUCUUGCUUCGGUAAAAUCCCCUAGAGUCAGUGGCGGACCCGCCGCGGCUCCGAGCGUAGUAGUAAAAUAUCUCGCUAUGGAGGCCCGUGGGGGGAUUACCGGCCGUAAAACCUCUUCUUUACUGAAGAACUUCUCAAGGUUGACCUCGGAUCAGGUAGGAAUACCCGCUGAACUUAAGCAUAUCAAUAAGCGGAGGA